GCAUUGAUGGUUCAGUGGUAACUUUCUUGCCUUCCAUGCAGGAGACCUGGGUUGGAUUCCCAGCUAAUGCA
rnacentral:tRNA from 1 species